rnacentral:rRNA from 1 species
CCUACGGGGGGCUGCAGUGGGGAAUAUUGCACAAUGGGCGCAAGCCUGAUGCAGCCAUGCCGCGUGUGUGAAGAAGGCCUUCGGGUUGUAAAGCACUUUCAGCGGGGAGGAAGGCGGUGAGGUUAAUAACCUCAUCGAUUGACGUUACCCGCAGAAGAAGCACCGGCUAACUCCGUGCCAGCAGCCGCGGUAAUACGGAGGGUGCAAGCGUUAAUCGGAAUUACUGGGCGUAAAGCGCACGCAGGCGGUCUGUCAAGUCGGAUGUGAAAUCCCCGGGCUCAACCUGGGAACUGCAUUCGAAACUGGCAGGCUAGAGUCUUGUAGAGGGGGGUAGAAUUCCAGGUGUAGCGGUGAAAUGCGUAGAGAUCUGGAGGAAUACCGGUGGCGAAGGCGGCCCCCCUGGACAAAGACUGACGCUCAGGUGCGAAAGCGUGGGGAGCAAACAGGAUUAGAUACCCCUGUAGUC